rnacentral:rRNA from 1 species
GGCGAACGCUGGCGGCGUGCUUAACACAUGCAAGUCGAACGGAAAGGCCCUGCUUUUGUGGGGUGCUCGAGUGGCGAACGGGUGAGUAACACGUGAGUAACCUGCCCUUGACUUUGGGAUAACUUCAGGAAACUGGGGCUAAUACCGGAUAGGAGCUCCUGCUGCAUGGUGGGGGUUGGAAAGUUUCGGCGGUUGGGGAUGGACUCGCGGCUUAUCAGCUUGUUGGUGGGGUAGUGGCUUACCAAGGCUUUGACGGGUAGCCGGCCUGAGAGGGUGACCGGCCACAUUGGGACUGAGAUAUGGCCCAGACUCCUACGGGAGGCAGCAGUGGGGAAUAUUGCACAAUGGGCGGAAGCCUGAUGCAGCAACGCCGCGUGCGGGAUGACGGCCUUCGGGUUGUAAACCGCUUUCGCCUGUGACGAAGCGUGAGUGACGGUAAUGGGUAAAGAAGCACCGGCUAACUACGUG